rnacentral:rRNA from 1 species
UACGAAGGGGGCUAGCGUUGCUCGGAAUGACUGGGCGUAAAGGGCGCGUAGGCGGAUGGCACAGUCAGAUGUGAAAUUCCCGGGCUUAACCUGGGGGCUGCAUUUGAUACGUGUUGUCUAGAGUGAGGAAGAGGGUUGUGGAAUUCCCAGUGUAGAGGUGAAAUUCGUAGAUAUUGGGAAGAACACCGGUGGCGAAGGCGGCAACCUGGUCCUUGACUGACGCUGAGGCGCGAAAGCGUGGGGAGCAAAAGGG